GGACUACAGGGGUAUCUAAUCCCGUUCGCUCCCCUGGCUUUCGUGUCUCAGCGUCAGCACACUCCCAGCUACCUGUUUUCACCAUUGGCGUUCCAAAUGAUAUCUACGCAUUUCACCGCUCCACCAUUUGUUCCGGUAGCCCCUAAGUGGCUCAAGAUUCGCAGUAUGCCAAGCAGUUCCACGGUUGAGCCGUGGGAUUUCACAAAGCACUUACAAAUCCGCCUACACACGCUUUAAGCCCAGUGAUUCCGCCUAACGCUUGGCACCUCUGUCUUACCGCGGCUGCUGGCAC
rnacentral:rRNA from 1 species